AACGUCAAUAAAUAUCAAGAUAUAUAAAGCAAAUGAAACAACAUGUAAUAGUGAAAAAUUAAAGAAUAAGAUUCUAUACGAUUACUAAUCAGUAUUUACUAAAUAAAGAGAAGAUGAGAAGAGGAAGUUGAUCCCCCGCUUCUCCCACAAAUUUAUUUACUAUUCUUGUACUAUAAUUUUUUUUAUCUUCAUACCUUCUUAUUUAAGUCGUGUAUUUCGAAGAUGUGUUACGACUUAUUUGUACCUUUCAUAAAUGUACUAAGUGUGGUUCAUCGCUAAAGCUGCAAUUACAAAGGAAGAGGCAUCAAGUGUGGUUCGUCGUCGAAGCCGCAACUGCGAAAAGAAAGAAGAUAUUUCAUGUGUGGUUCGUCAUCAAAGCCACAACUCUAAAAGAGGAUGAUCCACGUAUGAUUCGUCAUCAAAGCUGCAAUUGCAUUAGAAGGUGUACUAAGUGUGGUUCGUCGCUAAAACCGCAGUUACAAAAGAAGAUGCACGAAGUGUGGUUCAUCUCAACCAAAGCAAUAAUCGCUAAAUUUUUUUUUGCACCAAAUGGUUCCUCGCCAAUUAUGGAUUACACCUCACAUUUUUUUGGUAUGAUAUUGAGACUUUUUGCGGUCCAUCAUAAACCUGCAAGAAAAAAGGAAAAGUGAUGUGUCUCCUGGUGCAAAUUGCACGAAGCUUCAAAUUGACAUGGUGAAAAUUAUGGCAUAUGCUCUCGCGCUCGUCAUGAUGAAUGUGGUCCUAUUGGCUCAAGAGUUUUAUGUUGUCUCUCCAUGUAGAUGAUGACAAAAUUCUCAAUCAAUGCAGAAAUCAAUAUGCGGCUCUUCGGCAAAGAUGCAGAGAAGUGAACUCAUGGAUGUUGUCGAAAGUCAAUUGGAUCGCUAAAUUUAAAAAUAUCAAUUUUGGUGAAUUCAUGAGAACUUUGAGUUUGAUUUUUGGAUAGGUUGUAGACUUAAGAGUCUAUUUUCUAUUGAAUCAAGUCGGUCUUCUAGCUCUCCUACACCAAGAUGCAAACGUUUUGGUGAGACUCCACAAUCUGCAAAACAAUAAUGACAGAAUUGAAGACCAACUUCAAAAAUUAAUUCUCGUCAAUCCAUGAAGAAUUUUACCUUGAUUUUUGGAUAUGUUGUAGACUUUGAUGUCUAGUUUCUGUAGAAACAAGUCGUUCGUCAUUCGGAUUCUCCUACACCACGAUAGAGACGAUUUGGUGGGACUGCAUAGAGCUAUAAAAAAAGAAGACAGAUUUGAUAGCAAACUUCAAAAAUCAAUUCCCAUCAAUUCAGAAGGAUUUUGAUUUUGAAUUUCGGAUAUGUCGUAGCCCUCUGAGUGUAGUUUCUGGAACAUCAAAUGGAUCAUGAUUUCGACGAUUCUACAACAAGUUAUGAAUUUUCCACCACGGGCGUGCUGUGCUGAAAAAAAAAAGUGACGAAAAUUGAGUUUGGUAUGCCUCAAGUUGACAAGAAUAUGUGUAUUUAUAGAAAUCAAAAGUACAUAAGUUGUGUUCCUACAAAUUAUGAAAAAAAAAAACCAUAUUUAAAACAAAAUUAUGGUAAAUUUUCCUAGGAACCGAAUUAUGGUAAGUUUCUAUAGGAAUCAAGUUAAGGAAAAUUCCAUUGGAAUCAAGUUAUGGAAAAUUUGCAUUGGAAUCAAAUAUGGAAAGUUUUGGAAGACUCCAAAAAAAAUAAAAAAAUAAUUACGAAUGCUUCAAGCCUUGUCUUUAAAGGUUCAACAAGUUGGACACCGCAACAAGCCUCGAAGCAGGGGGCAUUUGUAG
rnacentral:lncRNA from 1 species